CCUACGGGUGGCAGCAGUGAGGAAUAUUGGUCAAUGGACGAGAGUCUGAACCAGCCACGUAGCGUGAAGGAUGACUGCCCUCUGGGUUGUAACCUUCUUUUAUAUGGGAAUAAAACAGGGUAUGCAUACCCUCUUGUAUGUACCAUAUGAAUAAGGAUAGGCUAACUCCGUGCCAGCAGCCGCGGUAAUACGGAGGAUCCGAGGGUUAUCCGGAUUUAUGGGGUUUAAAGGGAGCGUAGGUGGAUUUUUAAGUCAGUUGUUAACGUUAGCGGCUCAACCGUAAAAUUGCAGUUGAAACUGUCAGUCGUGAGUACAGUAGAGGUUGGCGGAAUUCGUGGUGUAGCGGUGAAAUGCUUAGAUAUCACGAAGAACUCCGAUUGCGAAGGCAGCUCACUGGACUGCAACUGACACUGAUGCUCGAAAGUGUGGGUAUCAAACAGGAUUAGAUACCCGGGUAGUC
rnacentral:rRNA from 1 species